rnacentral:rRNA from 1 species
CACGUAGAAGACUAGUGUUAUUCAUCUUUAUUAGGUUUAAAGGGUACCUAGACGGAAAAUCAAGCCAUAAUAGGGACUAAUUUUCUAGAGUUUUAUGAGAGAAGGGGCGAAUUUCCGGAGGAAAGUUGAUAUUUUGUGAUACUGGAAGGACGGGUAACGGCGAAGGCAACCUUUUAUGUAAAACUGACGUUGAGGGACGAAGCCUUGGGUAACGAGAAGGAUUAGACUACCCCGGGUAG